rnacentral:rRNA from 1 species
CCGUUAACGAACGAGACCUUAACCUGCUAAAUAGCCAGGCUAGCUUUUGCUGGUCGCGGGCUUCUUAGAGGGACUAUCGGCUCAAGCCGAUGGAAGUUUGAGGCAAUAACAGGUCUGUGAUGCCCUUAGAUGCUCUGGGCCGCACGCGCGCUACACUGACAGAGCCAGCGAGUACAUCACCUUGGCUGAAAAGUCUGGGUAAUCUUGUUAAACUCUGUCGUGCUGGGGAUAGAGCAUUGCAAUUAUUGCUCUUCAACGAGGAAUGCCUAGUAAGCGCAAGUCAUCAGCUUGCGUUGACUACGUCCCUGCCCUUUGUACACACCGCCCGUCGCUAAUACCGAUUGAAUGGAUA